UCUUGUUGGAGCAGUAUAAGGGAACCAAACCUCAGUCUUGAUGUCAUGUCUUUUUAGUAUUUCACACGAUGAAAGGAUGAAGUGGGGAGUGUACAAAAGGCUCCAGGCCUUUCUGCAGCUCACCUGAAGUAGGAAGACUGUCUCCAAGGAAAAGACGGGUGUUGCACUAGUCAGUGAGCUCCUUCCCCCUGUGUCCUGUGCUGAGUCACCCUGGAUGCACUGCUCACCAGGUGCACUGCAACCUCAAAUGGAGCCUGCUGCUGCUCCACCUGCUUCAGUGACAUCAUCCUCACUACCAACUGACUGACAAGAAGUGAAGACAGUGAAAGAGCAACACAAAAGAUAUCUAUGAGGAAGCAGUGGAAAACAGCACUGAGGAGCUGUGUGGGAAGCAG